GCCAUUUGACUGGCGCUGCGGUACACCUAUAUUGGGAGUGCCGGCUUGCCGGCUAUGGCGAUAAACGACCUGUGUAAUAAACCUAUCGGACCCGGGGGCGGUACCCGGCGCCUCCACCAGGCUUCUUGGCGGGCCAGGAUCAGACCCAAGAAGGGUCCUGGCGGGGGCGAAACAGGAUCGACGAGGGCGUAAAGACUGUGUUUUCGCUCGGCAUGGUACCCACCGUUAUCGGGCCAAACUCAAUAGUUGCAAACGACAACUAUGCGGAAGCACGUCUCGCCGCGUAAGCGGUGCGACAGCUUCAAUUCAAACUCCUGAGGGUUCGCACUUUCAGGCGGGGUUCGGAGGCACCUGGCAACAGAAGCCUCCACU
rnacentral:tmRNA from 1 species